AUUGAACGCUGGCGGCAGGCUUAACACAUGCAAGUCGUGCGAGUGGCGGACGGGUGAGUAAUGUCUGGGAAACUGCCUGAUGGAGGGGGAUAACUACUGGAAACGGUAGCUAAUACCGCAUACCAUCAGAUGUUCCCAGAUGGGAUUAGCUAGUAGGUGGGGUAAUGGCUCACCUAGGCGACGAUCCCUAGCUGGUCUGAGAGGAUGACCAGCCACACUGGAACGGGGACACGGUCCAGACUCCUACGGAGGGCAGCAGAGGGAAAUAUUGCACAAUGGGCGCAAGCCUGAUGCGGCCAUGCCGCGUGUGUGAUGAAGGCCUUCGGGUUGUAAAGCACUUUCAGCGGGGAGGCGUUACUCGCAGAAGAAGCACCGGCUAACUCCGUGCCAGCAGCCGCGGUAAUUC
rnacentral:rRNA from 1 species